rnacentral:rRNA from 1 species
CUACGUGCCAGCAGCCGCGGUAAUACGGAGGAUGCGAGCGUUAUCCGGAUUUAUUGGGUUUAAAGGGUGCGUAGGCGGCCUGUUAAGUCAGCGGUGAAAUCUAGGAGCUUAACUCCUAAAUUGCCAUUGAUACUGGCGGGCUUGAGUGUAGAUGAGGUAGGCGGAAUGCGUGGUGUAGCGGUGGAAUGCAUAGAUAUCACGCAGAACUCCGAUUGCGAAGGCAGCUUACUAAGGUACAACUGACGCUGAAGCACGAAAGCGUGGGUAUCAAACAGGAUUAGAUACCCUGGUAGUCCACGCAGUAAACGAUGAUAACUGGGCGUAUGCGAUAUACAGUAUGCUCCUAAGCGAAAGCGUUAAGUUAUCCACCUGGGGAGUACGCCGGCAACGGUGAAACUCAAAGGAAUUGACGGGGGCCCGCACAAGCGGUGGAGCAUGUGGUUUAAUUCGAAGCAACGCGAAGAACCUUACCAGGUCUUGACAUCCCUCUGACCGCUCUAGAGAUAGAGCUUUCUUCGGGACA